GAUGAACGCUGGCGGCGUGCCUAAUACAUGCAAGUCGAGCGAAUGGAUUAAGAGCUUGCUCUUAUGAAGUUAGCGGCGGACGGGUGAGUAACACGUGGGUAACCUGCCCAUAAGACUGGGAUAACUCCGGGAAACCGGGGCUAAUACCGGAUAACAUUUUGAACCGCAUGGUUCGAAAUUGAAAGGCGGCUUCGGCUGUCACUUAUGGAUGGACCCGCGUCGCAUUAGCUAGUUGGUGAGGUAACGGCUCACCAAGGCAACGAUGCGUAGCCGACAUAAGGUGGGGCACGGCAAGCCGGGGACUGAGACACGGCCCAGACUCCUUCGGGAGGCAGCAGUAGGGAAUCUUCCGCAAUGGACGAAAGUCUGACGGAGCAACGCCGCGUGAGUGAUGAAGGGUUUCGGGUCGUAAAACUCUUUUGUUAGGGAAGAACAAGUGCUAGUUGAAUAAGCUGGCACCUUGACGGUACCCAACCAGAAAGCCACGGCUAACUACGUGCCAGCCGCCGCAGUAA
rnacentral:rRNA from 1 species